GCUUCCUCUUCCUUUCUGGCCUAGCAGUAUACCAUCGUGCUACCCACUCUGCUAAUCCAAUCAUCUGUUGAAGGGCAAGUAGGCUUUUCCAGGUUUUAGAAUAAUGAAUACAGCUGCUCUGUACAAACUUUCUCCUAUAGGACGUUGGGACAAGAUAACCUUUCUAUAGGAAAGCAGCUAAAUGCAUGCAUUGCCCCACGCAGGAAUACAAGGCACAGAGCAGAAGGAAACAAAGCCUUGCUGUGCCCCGGCUCUGCAGAAACAGCCUGAGGCUCUGGCCUCUGCCUAUCGGUGACUUGUCCAACAGCUGAGCAGUGCUCCGCAACUGUAUUUAUGCUGACAUCUGAUGUUAAUGACUAGACUGGCUUUUGAAGUUGCAACAAGGUAAGAGAUGUCUCAAGUACCCCAGAAGACACGGACGUCUCUAAUAGCACUUCCACUACCAGGAACUGCCUGUACCCAAUCAAAGUUGGGUAAAUGAAAGAAAAGUGGUAUUUAUCAACUAUCUACAGGCACCAGGCAUUGUGAUAGCAGGUGUUCUCAUACAGGAAAGAUACAACAUUAGUAAUAAUGUCAAAACCGUAUAAGAAUAAAGGCUACCAGGCCUGUGCUAAAUAUUUCACAUGGAAGUUUAAACCAUUCAUGUAUAUUUAGUCUUCUAAAACUCCACAAGAUAACCUUCUUGUGACUUUAUGCAUCAGUUCCUAACACUCUCAAUCUGUCUCUCCCAUGCCAGACUGGCCUGGCACAUGCCAUGUGACUGACUUCCAGUCUGGCUCUGGCUGACACAGAGAGUUUCAGCUACUGGCCCCCAUCUGGGCUCUUCUAAGUCAGGGUCCAUGACAGAAGGGGGGGGGCUCCCAUUCACUUUUGACUUCUCUUCUUCCUUAGCAGCCAGCCUAUA